rnacentral:rRNA from 1 species
GACGAACGCUGGCGGCGUGCUUAACACAUGCAAGUCGAGCGGUAAGGCCCUUUCGGGGGUACACGAGCGGCGAACGGGUGAGUAACACGUGGGUGACCUGCCCUCAGCUCUGGGAUAAGCCUGGGAAACCGGGUCUAAUACCGGAUAUGACUCCAUGACGCAUGGUUGUGGGGUGGAAAGCCUUGUGCGGCUGAGGAUGGGCCCGCGGCCUAUCAGCUUGUUGGUGGGGUGAUGGCCUACCAAGGCGACGACGGGUAGCCGGCCUGAGAGGGCGACCGGCCACACUGGGACUGAGACACGGCCCAGACUCCUACGGGAGGCAGCAGUGGGGAAUCUUGCGCAAUGGGCGAAAGCCUGACGCAGCGACGCCGCGUGAGGGAUGACGGCCU